rnacentral:piRNA from 1 species
UUGGAUGUAAGCUUGGGGUUUAACUGAC